rnacentral:rRNA from 1 species
GACGAACGCUGGCGGCGUGCUUAACACAUGCAAGUCGAACGGAAAGGCCCUGCUUUUGUGGGGUGCUCGAGUGGCGAACGGGUGAGUAACAUGUGAGUAACCUGCCCUUGACUUUGGGAUAACUUCAGGAAACUGGGGCUAAUACCGGAUAGGAGCUCCUGCUGCAUGGUGGGGGUUGGAAAGUUUCGGCGGUUGGGGAUGGACUCGCGGCUUAUCAGCUUGUUGGUGGAGUAGUGGCUUACCAAGGCUUUGACGGGUAGCCGGCCUGAGAGGGUGACCGGCGACAUUGGGACUGAGAUACGGCCCAGAGUCCUACGGGAGGCAGCAGUGGGGAAUAUUGCACAAUGGGCGGAAGCCUGAUGCAGCAACGCCGCGUGCGGGAUGACGGCCUUCGGGUUGUAAACCGCUUUCGCCUGUGACGAAGCGUGAGUGACGGUAAUGGGUAAAGAAGCACCGGCUAACUACGUG